UUCUGAGUCACUCUGAACAGACCAGACUCCAUUUUGUUAUUUCCAAGCUAACAAAAGACACGAGAUUUCUAUCUGUAAAACUAACCACUUUCCCCGAGCUAAAGGAAUGCAUAGUAUAUACAAACCAAGUGAUAAGGAGAACGGGGGUUGGAUAGACUGUCUAAAAUGCUAAUGGAAUAUAAUCAAUUCUAAACCCAGACAUUUGUGACAGAGGAG